rnacentral:misc_RNA from 1 species
GAUGAAGAACGUAGCGAAAUGCGAUACGUAAUGUGAAUUGCAGAAUUCAGUGAAUCAUCGAAUCUUUGAACGCAUAUUGCGCUCUCUGGUAUUCCGGAGAGCAUGCUUGUUUGAGUAUCAGUAAACACCUCAACUCCCCUUUCUUUUUUUGAAAUGGGAGCUGGACUUGAGUGAUCCCAACGCUUUUCUCACCGAAAAGUGGCGGGUUACUUGAAAUGCAGGUGCAGCUGGACUUUUCUCUGAGCUAAAAGCAUAUCUAUUUAGUCUGCCUAAAAAACAGAUUAUUACCUUUGCUGCAGCUAACAUAAAGGAGAUUAGUUCUUGUGCUGACUGAUGCAGGAUUCACAGAGACAGCUUCGGCUGGCCUUUGUAAACUCGAUCUCAAAUCAAGUAAGACUACCCGCUGAACUUAAGCAUAUCAAUAAGCGGAGG